rnacentral:misc_RNA from 1 species
UCCGAGUUGACCUCGGCAGUCUCCUAUGAGUCCCCACCAUCACGUGCUGGCAACAUAGGACGAGGGUUGCGCUCGUUGCGGGACUUAACCCAACAUCUCACGACACGAGCUGACGACAACCAUGCACCACCUGUGCACGGCCCUUACGGACCCCCCAUCUCUGAAACCCAUACGGGACAUGUCAAGCCUAGGUAAGGUUCUUCGCGUUGCGUCGAAUUAAACCACAUGCUCCACCGCUUGUGCGGGCCCCCGUCAAUUCCUUUGAGUUUUAGCCUUGCGGCCGUACUCCCCAGGCGGGGUGCUUAAUGCGUUAGCUUCGGCACGGACGGGGUUGAUAUCCGCCCACACCUAGCACCCAACGUUUACGGCUAGGACUAC